UAGAUCGAGUGGCAUCCGACAAUGUAAAGUAAAGUGACACUAGAGUUAGUGUGUGUGGCAUCAAAGAGAAAUGUGACGUAAAGAAUAAUGAUAAUGAAUAGAGACAAGUAAAGAAAAUGAAAGUGGCAUAAAGAACGAGUAAAGUUAAAGAACAAUGAUUGCUAGAGUUAGCAAAAUAAAGUGAUGUAAAGAACACUAGAGUUAGUGUAAAGAUAAUGAUUGAACUAUAUAUCCUUAGAGUUAAGGAUCGAUCAUACUUGCUAUGAGUUCCAUGCUCGAGGGCGGUCGCUCCCCCUCGAGCGAUGCGCUCCGGAGUUUUGCAUCACGGGUUGGAGUCAACCCGAGGACGGUCUUAGCGGGAGGCAGCUGAGGGCCCGCGAUGAUGGACUUAAUGUGGGCAAGUUAAUGUGGCGAAACCCCCGGGUUAGCCGUGAGAUUAAAGAACAAAGAACAAAGAUUAAAGAAUAAAGAGUGAGGAACAAAGAACUUGCAUACUUGCAUGAUUUACGUUGAGCAUAUUUCUUGCUUUAUUGUUCAGGCAUAUUAGCAUCAUGAUUAUAGUUUGGUUACUAUUCUGUUUAUGCUUUCUAUUAUGCCUGAGUUAAUUCUAGUAGGAAAGUCGGUGAGAUUGGGGCCGAACCCAUUAGAAACUUUGUUGUAGUUCUCACCCCACUAUUCCACAGAGCCGGGACCGAGCGAGCUGGCGAGCGACCAUGGUAAAGGUAUCGCACCGUAGUCAGAGGCCACCAGAGUUGGGUUAUUUCAUAUUUUGAUAGUAGCUACCCUAUCGUCAUCUUUUGUACUUGAGGAUGUUUAAAGUAAAGAAAAAGAAUGUAAUGUUUAUUUUGGGCAGAUACGAUGUAAAAGAAAUAAAGCAAGUAAUGUAAAGAAUCAUGAAUAUAAAGGUUAAAUGCAAUGUAUGUGAUAAAAAGUUGAAUCAUAGUACUUGUGUAGUUGUUUAGUUUCCUUUCUUUCACUCAUGGCUAUUGCUUACCCUCGUGUAAGCCGUAUUUGUAUGUUUCCGCUAGUGCUUUUCUCUACUUGAAAAUGUACAGGUGGUGAGGCUUUGGCGGACAGGAGAAACUCUGUCCGUUCGGCGUUUGCUUGACGUGCCUGGGCCGGCCCAAAUUGGUAUCGUUCCCGGGGCGUGACAGAUAUUAUGGUAUCAGAACCUAGAGUUAAAGAAUAGGAAUGGACCUAGAGACCCUUAGGAUUAGAAGACCUUAAGGAUCUAGGAAACGUGAGUGACUUGGAAUCAAAGUUAGCGAAAGUAUAUGAUUGUGUCAAGUUCGGAUGUCUCUAAUGUGAUUAGAGGCUAAGUUUGAAUUGAUGUUCGUUUCCUACUCCUUGUUUUGUGUCGGGCGGCCGACGACAUAAUGCUUGGAGCGAGAACGAAUGCAUAAGUUGCUUUCGCCAAAUUCGGUAUGGUCAAGUAAUGUUGGUCAUGUAGCUAAUGCGAGUUGCUUCUUUUCAGGAAGCAAUGGCGCCUCGUCGUCGACCGCAGACAAGGUCGAUGCCUGAGGACCCGAAUGCAGCGCCCGAGCAAUCCGGAGCGAGUGGCGACGGAGAGCUUAGGGAGCAGAGUCAACGGCUCUAGGAGGUUUUGGAGCGUCAGCAAGCCGCCAGGUUGGUGUCGAGCAUGUCGCGCCCCCUGUGGUAGUGCCGAGCGUAACGAGGGAGCGGUGGCAGCAGCGGUUGUGCCAGUUACGGCAAUACCGGCCGGAUCAGGAACCUCAAAUCCCGAUAGUUCGGCAGCAGAUGCAAAGCGAGAGCGCAUGUUGGCGGCGCUUAUCCAGUUUCAGAAAUUCAACCCACUUGUCUUUGAAGGUGGCAUGGUGGAGCUAGCGGUUGUGGAGUCGUGGAUCGACUCGAUGGAAACGCUCUUCGAGGACCUAAAUACCUCGGAGAAGGACAAAGUGUACCUCGCCACCCAUUGUCUAGAGAAGGCGGCGAAGGUGUGGUGGAAACAAGUUAAGCGGGAUCGACUUGCCGAUCUUCCACUUAUGCUUUGGGAGGAGUUCAAGAGAGCGGUAUUCGCGAACUACUUCCCCUACACGGUGAAGCGGAGGUGGCAAGAAAAGUUCCGCAAGUUGCGACAGGGCGAUCGAUCGGUGGGGGAGUAUGAGCAAGAAUUCUCCUACAUUAUCGACUGCGUUCUCGAUGUUGUUUGAGAUGAUCGGGAUCGAGCUGAUUGGUUCUUACGAGGACUCCAGCCGAGGAUAUAUGAGAAUGUGCAGAUCUUGAAGCUAACGACCUUUGCGGAGGUCUUUGAUAGAGCCUUAUGGGCAGAGCACGGUAGCGCCCACGUUCGAGAGGAACGGGAGGCUAUGGCCGAGAGCAAGGACAAAGGCAAGAAGCGAACGGCGGGCGGUGCCGGGGGCCGGCCAAAUGCUAAGAAACCCCCUCGGUAUCCCCGAUAGCAGUCGAGGAAUUGGAGACCACCUCAAUGCAUCGUCUGUGGCGGAGAACACCGAGUGUCGAUGUGCCCGCAAGGCGGUGACAAAUGCUUUAAGUGUGGCCAACCGGGACAUCGCAUACGGGAGUGCCCGAUGUGGACAUCGUCUGCACCGGCGGCGGCAUCCUCACCGUCUACCCUGAGACAGCUUGCGGGGUUACCACCAGCGAUGUCGGCUGGGCGCGCGUCAUCACCGCGUCAGCCGAAGGGAUCAAGAGCGCCUAGCGGCUGAGUCUUUGCCGCUCAGGUGGAGGAGCAACAGCCUGCAGCACCCGACGACGUCGUGACAGGUAUAAUUGUGAUUAAAGGCAUUAGAGCUAGAGCAGUGUUUGAUACAGGCGCAUCUCAUUCAUUCAUUAGCGCAUCAUUUGCUCAAACUCAUGGCAUAGAGAUGGCAUAUAACGAGGACUACUGGUGGGUGAACGCCCCAGAACAUUCAUUAAGUAUCCACAAUGAGUGUUUGGCGUGUCCAGUGCAAAUAGGCGAUUGGAUUAUGCCGAUAGAUCUGCUAGUGCUAGAUCAGAUGUGGAGAUUUGAUGUUAUCUUGGGGACCAACUGGCUCUCCAAGUACUAUGCAGUUAUAGAUUGUGAAAGCAAGGUGAUCACUUUUCGUGAGCCUAAUCAAGAAGAAUUGGUGUACCAAGCGUGCAAAAGUAGGCGCUUCGCGGCGACCAUAUUGUCUGUAAGGGCGAAGAAGAUGAUCAAAGGAGGGUGUAAAGCCUAUUUGGCAACCAUGGUAGAUGCUCGAAAGGAGUACCCAGAGUUGGGGGAUAUUCGAGUAGUGUGCGAGUACCCGGAUGUAUUUCCGGCGGAGUUACCGGGAUUGCCACUGGACCGGGAGGUCGAGUUCGUUAUCGACUUGAUUCCCGGAGCGGAACCAGUUUCGAAGGCUCCGUAUAGAAUGGCACCGGUGGAGCUAAAGGAGUUGAAAGCACAACUACAAGACUUGCUCGAUAAAGGCUUCGUGAGGCCGAGCGUGUCACCGUGGGGAGCUCCGGUGCUAUUUGUGAAGAAAAAGGAUGGUACACUUCGACUCUGCGUAGACUAUCACGAGUUGAACAAAGUAACGAUUAAGAACAAGUACCCAUUGCCAAGGAUUGACGAUUUAUUCGAUCAGUUGCAAGGGUCCAAGGUGCAUUCGAAGAUUGAUCUCCAAUCGGGGUAUCAUCAUGUCACGCCCCAAUCUCCGCCUAUUUGGUCGGGUUCGGGCCACGUCAACAGACGCCGAACGGACAGAGCCUCCCCUGUCCGCCCAAGGCUCAAACAACAUGUAUAAAUAGGCAAUCAACAAGAGAUUUGCAUAUGUAAUACAAGGCUUGCACGAGGGCAAGCAACAAUGAAAGCGAAAGCUCUACGCUAAUUAAGCAACAUACAUGAUAUUUGAUUAGCAUUUAAACCAAAUUCAAGUAAAUCUAUUACAUUCUAGCAUCAUAUCUUUUUACAUUUAGUCAUCCACCAAAUACAUGAUUGUUUACACUUUUCAUUCCUAAAUCAACAAAAUAAAGUUGAUACAUGUAUAACAAAAGNGAAGAAGAAGAAAAGGAGAAAGAAGGUGAAGAAGAAGCUAAGGAGUGAAGCUAUCUCCUCUUCUUCCCCUUUGGAGCAAGCUUAGAGGUAAGCCUUGCCCCUUUUCAUGGUAAAUCCCAAACUAGGGUUUGGGUAAGCCUAGAAUUGGUUUUUAUAGAACCUUUAGAGUAUUUGAAGCUUUCUUUUGCUUCUUAUAGAGAUCAACACCAUGAGUUGGGUGUGUGUGAUGAAGCUUAGAGGUGAGCUUCACCCCUCUCAUGGUAGAAUCCAAACUAGGGUUUGAAUUAAGCCAAGGUGGUUUUUGUGGAGUCUUUAGAGUGGAAUGAAGCUUCUUUUGCUUCCCAAUGAGAUCAACCCCUAGGUUUGAUAUAUGCUAUUGAGCUAGGGCACCCAAAUUGGGGUUUUUGCUUGCGAGGGUUCCAAAGUGAAAUUGACCCUCUAGAAACCUAAUUGGGGGUAUUUCCGACGCAUUGGUGUGCUCGGAUUAACGUUACGAAAAGCCAAUGUAAAGAUAUGAGCAAAAUGGCCUAAUAGGGCUUCGUUUUGCCGCAGGUGACAAACUAAGGAGCCCAAGAAAAUCACCGGAGCACCUAAGUCUACAAGGUGGGUGGUGCUUUCCAAACUCGUUGAACUUCCUUCUAUGCCUAAUGUGUCAUUCAAUUGAGCAUAUGUUAUAUAUAUUGUUGCAUGCAUUGUAGGGUAAAUGUGAUGAGAGUAAUGUGAUGUUGCAUAUUGUGAGUACAAUUUGCCUAAUGAGAUGGUUGAGAACUCCUAUGAAUUUUUAACCCUAUGUAUGCAUGAGAUAAAAUGUGAGCACCAAAGUGAGGCAAAAGAACAGAGUGACACAAUGAGACAUAGAUCGAAUGGCAUUCGAUAAUGUAAAGUAAAGUGACACUAGAGUUAGUGUGAGGCAAGAAUCAAUGUGAUGUAAAGAGUAAUGACAAUGACUAAAGUUAAUGUAAUGUGGGGCAUAAAGAACAUGCAAAGAGUAAAGCACACGAUUGCUAGAGAUAGCCAAAAGUAAAGAAAUGUAAAGAACCAUGAUUGCUAGAGUAGCAACAUAAAGUGAUGAAAAGAAUACUAGAGUUAGUGUAAUGACAUGAUUGAACCUAUAAUCCUUAGAGUUAAGGAUUCGAUCAUACUUGCUAUGAGUUCCGUGCUCGAGGGUGGUCGCUCCCCCUAGAGCGAUGCGCUCCGGAGUUUUUGCAUCACGGGUUGGAGUAAACCCGAGG
rnacentral:lncRNA from 1 species